UGCCAAAAAAAACCCUCCAGUUUGUAAGUAAUUAGGUCUAAGCCCCUCACGAACCGUUUCUGUGAGGUGGUACUCUACGUAUAGGCCCUUUGGAAAUUUGGAUAUUGCACGGAAGGAGAGAAAAAUCGCAAAUAAGAACUGCGCUCUAAAAUGCGGAAGAGGGGUUUUUUCGCAAAACUCCGCCCACUAACCCACACCCCCCUCAAAUCCUAGCCGGUAGCCGCCGCCGCCCGCUCUCCCUCUCGUCUCUCUCGCUCCCUCUACCGCUGCCGCCACCUCGCGUCUCCUCCGCCUCCCCAUCGCGCUGCCACCUCCGCAUCGCGCUGUCACCAUCGUCGUCCCCGUUACCGAGCGCCGCCGCCUCCGCCUCCACCUCUACCUCCCCCUCGCGCCGCCACCUCCGCCUCUGCCUCCUCUGCCUUCCCUUCUGCCUCGCGUGGCCGUUGCCGGGUGCGCCACCUCCGGCUCACGCCGCCGCUGCCGACCGUCAUGUGUUUGGGGGACGCGGAUCUGACCGCCGCAGCGUCGUCCUCCGCUAUCGUCGCCAUCGCCGAGCGUCACCGUUGCAUCCUCCGCCGCACCUCCGUCCUUCACCGCCAAAGACCGCUGUGAGCGGUCGACCUCGGGUGGAGCCGGCCGCCAUUGCCGCAACCUCGUGGGCUAAGCUACAGAACGGUUGUCCGUCGAUUUGAGGAGGGAGAGGCGGCAGCAGCAAUAAAGAGGGGAGAGGCAUGCCGGCGGCUGUAUGGUGGAGAAGCGCCGCCGCAGCCCGCAUCCCCUCCUCUUGCCCCUCCCUCUCCCACCUGGGCGAUUCGUAAGCCGUCGUCGCCGUCGCAUGGGCUCCAGGAACCACCGUCGACUGCCGUCGUCGUGUCCCCUGGUCUCCUCAAUCCUCCCGUGCGCCACUCAUGCCGGCGAGAUGAGAUCGGCGCAAGCAAUGUGGCAGUGGGCAACUCCAAGAAGUCGAGAUUGAGAGCUCUGGCUACCGCCUUCGACAAUAUCUGACCUGGUGCUGCGCCUGCCUCGGCAGAUCGGGCAACGGUGUCGACCUCGGCGAUGACACGGAUUGCACUCCGUCCUUUGCGGCGGAUCAAGUACACAUCGAUGGAGCCCCUCUUCUCCUCCCCCCACCGGCAAGGGCAGAUGGAGGCGGUGUGCGCCGGAGGCUGUAGAUCAAGUGACGGCCUUGACGCUUUGAAGCCAGUGGACAAGCUGGCUCCUACACUGAGCGGCAAUGGUGGCACCAAAGAGCUGUCCAGGUGAUCAGUUCGCCUGCGGAUUUGUUGUUGAAAACACCACCAGGCAGCACGUGGUGGCCGAUGGUCGCGCCUCCACCAACUUCAUCAGCGCGUGGAUCCAGUAUUGAUCAUCUUCUGCUCGGUGCCAUUCCAUUCCCCAAGACCUUAGUUUGCAGUGUCGUGAACUGAACAAAUCCUACGAGAGGCUGGUUCCCAUGUGCCUGUAAGAGGCUCCUGGAUUUGAAAGCCUGGUGUUACCAACUAGAGAUUAUCUUUGUAUAUUUAAGGACCUUUGCUGUGCGGCUGACUUCGUUCAAAGCCACCGUCGGCAGGCUACUGGGCAAGCUAGGAUGCAUGAGCUUGGAGCUGGGAGGCUGAUAUUCUCCCUCCUGUUCUCUGCUUCUAUGGCUGACAGAGGAUGAGAUAAAGUGGAGUUGGGGGCAAGUGAGGACUGUGAGGGUAUGAGCUACCUCAUUAUUUUUCAGGCGUUGCCUGAUUUUCUCUAAUUGUUAACUUAUAUGUCAUUCUUUAGUUUUAGAGUGUUUCUAUAGGUGUAAUUCACUCAAUAUGUAUUUAUAUUACUCCUUUCUUGAGCAAAUAUGUAGGAACAGAAAAGGGGUCUUUUCUUUAUGUGCAAUAGUAAAUUGUUGUUUUAUAGUGAAAUUGCUAAGGCAACUGCUUCUAAUUUGCCUAAAUCAGUCAUUGCUUGGUUAAAAAAAAUAAUGACACCAUGGCAGACAAUUCUGAAGAGACCAUAUAUCUUUAGUUUGAUUCUAACAACCAUCUUCUGUUCUGAACUUACGAUAUUUAGCCAUUGAUUUAUGGAUUUUCCAUUUAUCUAUGAAUGUUUGGGCUCACCAUUAAUUUGUUUCAUUUCAGUGACCCUUAUCUGUGAAAUAUUUUUCGCUUCCUCCCACUUUGUUUUCUGCACAAUCCAUGUGUCGUGGUUGAUGCUGGUUAAUGGUUGUAUUUCCUCUUUUUUAUUUUGGGAGAAGUCUUCAGUUGAUUGGCACAUUUAGAAAGUGUAUAUAGUCUGCUGGAAUUUCUUACGAUUCUUUUGCAAAAUUAUGUAUUUAAUUUGGUUAGUUCAGGUAGAGGACAGAGCUAUAUACUAUUCCAUUUGUAAUACAUAAAUUGCUCUAAAAGCACCUCAUUUAUAUUUUUCUAUUAUAAGUGUUGACAUCACAUGCAUUCUUACUCUUCCUCAAUUUAUGCGAAAGAUUGAUUUUUUUCCCAUAUGAUCGUAGAUAAAUAUUGGCAUUGUCGUUAUAGGAUAUAUAUAAUACAAUGCUCAUUCUAUAUUUAGGUUCCCAUCGGAUGGCUUAUUCAACCAAAGAAAAAGCCAAAAUUUGAAUUUUCAAACUUAAUUUUGACAUUGAUUUUGUGAUAUUUUCAACGUAGUUUCUUUUUCAGCAUUGGCUUUUACGUCACCGAGAACACAUAUAUAAAAGUUUUACCUACAAAUUCAUUUUUAUUCUCUAAUAAGCUGUUUUGGCUUAUUACGAAAAAAGCCAAACGAUGAGGCCCUUAGCCUAUCUACACGUGAUGGCUAAUUUCUGUCUUGUGCCAUAUGGAGGUACAUCAAUUGAAAUGGGUUCAAUUCAAGUCUAUGUUUCAUAUCUAUUUUUUGCUUGCCUUUCUUUCGACAUGAUUAAGUGACAUAAUAGUUUUGCGGAGACAAUAUUUCUAGUUCUAUUUAGUUAGUUGAACCACCUCAUAUAUGAAAUUUCAUCUGAGUUAGUGCUAUAUGACCGAGUUGUAGCUUAUUCGUUAUGCUUGGAAAUUCAUAGUGAAAUGGAUUCACUUGCAAAAGCGUGUUUGGGACCUUGGGACUGAUAUCCAACUAUCAGCAUUUCUUAUUAUCUUGUAUAAUCUGGUUAUGGUACAAGAUAAGACUAACGCGAGGAUGAGCUUUCUCUUGAACAUUUCUGUUUGAUAUCUGAGUAGCUGAGUUGAUCAUGAGUCCUCUGGAGACAGCUCUGGAGAGUCCUUGAACGUUAUCUGGUGAGUAAUGCUCAACCUUCACUAUUAGUUUCACCCAUCGCUCUUCUGGUUGAUUGCUUGCCAGUACUUAUGAUACUAAAACCAAGCAUUUCUCCAAAAAAAUAAGUAGGACAUGCAUUUUUAAAGGUAAUGCUUUGCAAAUUUUGUCUCACAUAUUGACUUUGCUUUCAAUGUUCCAUAGUGUUAUUGCAUUUUUUUCCCCUGGAAGUGCUACUCUGCUGUGCUCAAUCGUAUUUGUUUUUACUGGAUUAAAGAGUAGAACCUCUUCGGAUUAUUUUUAGUUCCUAAUAUACUUACUUUUAUUCUCUUUUCUUCCAUGAAGCUGGUGGUGGUAGUCAAUGCUCGAGAUCCCUUAUUCUACCGCUGUCCUGAUCUUGAGGAUGAGCAUAAUGGUUGUAUUACAGACAAAAAAGAAGAAUCAUCUGUAAACUCUAUUGUGUCCCAGUAAAUAAUGCUACUUCCUUAUUGUUUACCUUCAUAUUUAGCUCCUCCCUUUCACUUAACAUUGGUAGAGUUUUAGGCUCUGCUUAGCAAGGCAAACCUGCAGUGGGAAAGGGAAAGCAGUGAGGUCUAUCCUUAUAUCUGCUUACUAUGCUUUGUAACUUUGCUUCCUGAACUGUGUGCUCCCAGAAACAUGGUGCUAUUAACAUAAAAAAAUACACUGAUCAAUGUACUGAUGAAUUUCGCUGCAGUUAAAACUAUCAAUAGUAGAGCAUUAGUUUACAUAUUGUGCUUUUGUGCUGAAGAGGAAGAGUUAUUUUGUAGAUAGUGCCAAGAUUGCAUUUUUCUACUAUUUAAAUCACAACGGAGUUGCCAAUGAUAAUUUUUUUCCCAAUGGUGUGACAUUAUCUAUUGGUUCAUUUUUCUGAUAUCCUGACAUUUCCAUAGGGCAUUGCUUUGAAUUUUUUUAAGCUAUCAUGUUUGCCAGUCCCAAUUUUCACAUUUAAUCCUGUAGUACUGGUAAUUGUUUAGGUCAGGAAUUGAUAGUUCAUACAUAUUAGCGUAUUGUUACCUGGGUAAAUUUUGCUUGCCAGUUGAAAAAUUACAUCCAUGGGAUUGUCUUGUUUCACUCGAGAUUUUUUCUUACUUUCAUUUUUUCUUUUACGGUUUUAGUAAGCUGAUACUAUGCUUGAUUUAAGUAAGAUGUUACUAAGGUAUAAGUCAUGGUUAGUCUUUCACAUGGAAAAUUCAUGAGCAGCGGCAUUAGAUGCAGGUAGCGAAUGGCAUGGUGGAAAGAAGAGUAUCUGAGGAUGGUGGCAGAUCUGGAGCCAAGGUCGAUGGGGAUGGCCAGGGCAUUGCGGCGGCGGACCCUGGCAGACUAGCAUGGCAUGGCAGCAGAGACAACGACAAG